UACAGGAGGGGCAAGCGUUAUUCGGAAUUAUUGGGCGUAAAGGCGCGUAGGCGGCCAUUCAAGUGACGGGUGAAAGCCCUCGGCUUAACCGAGGAACUGCCUGCUCAGACUGGAUGGCUUGAGACCGGGAGAGGUGAGUGGAAUUCCCAGUGUAGCGGUGAAAUGCGUAGAUAUUGGGAGGAACACCAGUGGCGAAGGCGGCUCACUGGACCGGAACUGACGCUGAGGCGCGAAAGCGUGGGGAGCAAACAGGG
rnacentral:rRNA from 1 species